AGCAGCCGCGGUAAUUCCAGCUCCAAUAGCGUAUAUUAAAGUUGUUGCAGUUAAAAAGCUCGUAGUUGAAUUUCGGAAUCUGUCCAUCGGUCGAGCUUCACUGUUCGUACUGGUGUGGUGGGUUCUUACCUUCUGAAUAACCAGCAUGCCAUUCACUUGGUGCGUUGGGGAAGCAGGACUAUUACCUUGAAAAAAUUAGAGUGCUCAAAGCAGGCCAGCGCCUGAAUACAUUAGCAUGGAAUAAUAAAAUAGGACGGCUUGGUUCUAUUUUGUUGGUUUCUAGGAUCACCGUAAUGAUUAAUAGGGAUAGUUGGGGGCAUUAGUAUUCAAUUGUCAGAGGUGAAAUUCUUGGAUUUAUUGAAGACUAACUUCUGCGAAAGCAUUUGCCAAGGAUGUUUUCAUUAAUCAAGAACGAAAGUUAGGGGAUCGAAGACGAUCAGAUACCGUCGUAGUCUUAACCAUAAACUAUGCCGACUAGGGAUCGGACGAUGUUAAUUUUUUUAAUGACUCGUUCGGCGCCUUACG
rnacentral:rRNA from 1 species